rnacentral:rRNA from 1 species
AUUGAACGCUGGCGGAAUGCUUUACACAUGCAAGUCGAACGGCAGCACGGACUUCGGUCUGGUGGCGAGUGGCGAACGGGUGAGUAAUGUAUCGGAACGUGCCCAGUCGUGGGGGAUAACGUAGUGAAAAUUACGCUAAUACCGCAUACGAUCUAUGGAUGAAAGCGGGGGAUCGCAAGACCUCGCGCGAUUGGAGCGGCCGAUAUCAGAUUAGGUAGUUGGUGGGGUAAAGGCCCACCAAGCCAACGAUCUGUAGCUGGUCUGAGAGGACGACCAGCCACACUGGAACUGGAACACUGGCCAGACUCCUACGGGAGGCAGCAGUGGGGAAUUUUGGACAAUGGGCGAAAGCCUGAUCCAGCCAUUCCGCGUGCAGGAUGAAGGACCUCGGGUUGUAAACUGCUUUUGUACAGAACGAAAAGGUUUCUACUAAUACUAGGAGCUCAUGACGGUACUGUAAGAAUAAGCACCGGCUAACUACGUGCCAGCAGCCGCGGUAA